rnacentral:misc_RNA from 1 species
AACGCACCUUGCACUCCUUGGUAUUCCGAGGAGUAUGCCUGUUUGAGUGUCAUUAAAUUCUCAAACCUCUAUUGGCUUUAUUGACAAUAGAGGCUUUGGAUGUGGGGGUUGCUGGCUUAGCAAAGUCAGCUCUCCUUAAAUGCAUUAGUGGUUACUGUUCUCCACUUCUUUGGUGUGAUAAUUAUCUACGCCUCAGGUGGUGAUGUUAAGUGUAACUGCUUUCUAACCGUCCAAUCUAUUUGGACAACUUGAACCAUUUGACCUCAAAUCAGGUAGGACUACCCGCUGAACUUAA